UGUGCAGGCGGCUUUGUAAGUCAGUGGUGAAGGCCCGGAGCUCAACUCUGGAAUUGCCAUUGAUACUGCAAAGCUUGAGUUCGGUUGAAGUAGGCGGAAUGUAGCAUGUAGCGGUGAAAUGCUUAGAUAUGCUACAGAACACCGAUUGCGAAGGCAGCUUACUAAACCGUUACUGACGCUGAUACACGAAAGCGUGGGGAGCGAACAGGAUUAGAUACCCUGGUAGUCC
rnacentral:rRNA from 1 species